AGUAGGGUCAGCUAACAAAGCUAUCGGGCCCAUACCCCGAAAAUGAUGGUUCAACUCCCUCCUCUACUA
rnacentral:tRNA from 1 species